UUGGAAGCAUUAGUGCACUACUGCGAUGUUUUAGAAAGCAUUGUCGGAGGUCUAAUCAUCUUUCGCCUAAUUUUUCUUCGAAAUGAUACUUUACAGAGCAUCGCCGGAGGCUUAGCAAAUGAAGAGGAUGCUUUACAAAGCAUCUUUGGAGAACCAGCCGAAUACUUAAUGAUACCCCCUCUCCUCGAUUCCAACCCCUUUCUCUCUCUCUCUAUCUCCCCCUCUCUCUCUCAGAGAAAAUCCCUAACCUCUUCCGCCAUCAUCCCAGCCCCCUCACCCGACCCCUUCCUCCUCGAUCCCAAGCCCCCCUAUUCCCCGAUCCCAGCCUCUGUUCCUUCCCGAUCCCAACCCCUUCCUCCCCGAUCUCUCUCUCUCUCACACACACACAGAGAAGAAUCCCUAACUCUUUCUAUAGGAGAAGGCUAGGGUUUUCGUGGGGGAGAAGGCGAAGCGGUCGCAGGAGCUAACAAUUGGGGCCACCAAGUUCUCCCAGGAGUUCGUCUCCGAGACCGCCAAGAAGUCUAAGGAGCUCGCUGUCGAGGCCACCAAGAAGGUCGACCUCAUCUGCUCUGAGGCCCUCCGCGCUGCCAACAAGAUCAAGACCCUCACCGUCGACAUCCCUAGCCUUCCUAUCUCCCCCGGGCAGAUCCGUCGUGCCGGACUUGGCCUGGGAUCUCGAGUGGUUGGGCAUCACCGAUGAGCUCAGGAAGUUCGUCAAGGGCAUCACCCUCAGCACCUUCCGUGAUUUCCCCAUGGAAGUUUUGUCACAAUGACAAUCUUAUAAGAAAGAAGAUGAAGACCAAGAUGAAGAUGAAGACUGCGGUCUCGAAGAUUGCAAAGAAGCUACUACAGUCGAGGAAUGCUUUCAUUUUUACUGUAAUUUUUAAAUAUAUAAUUUGUAAAAAAAGCAACAAUAAAUUGGGCAUUUGUUAUUGUUUCUAUGUUAUUUCUUUUUUAAUUUUAUUUUUUUUAUUUAUCUUAUGCUAUUAGAAGAAGCAAAAUCAGACGGAACCAGUAAUGAAGAAUGAAAAUUGGACUUUUUUCUUUAAAUUAA